GUGAUCUACCACUUAGGUACAGAUGAAGAUCCUAGACUUGUUUCAUACUUCUAGAAGUGCGUGCUUUAGUGAGAUAACAUGUCAUCUUGUUACACUACGAUCACUGGCCCUAAUCCUAUACCUCUACGUGGGUGUUUCAUUGUCAUAAAAUGGUGAUCAGUGAAAAUAAUUGAAGAAUUCAGCACCCAACUUUAAGCUCAAUGUGAACUGCUAAAAAGGAGUGAAAAUUCAAA